GUCAGGAUGGCCGAGCGGUCUAAGGCGCUGCGGUCAGGUCGCAGUCCGGUCUUCCGGGCGUGGGUUCGAAUCCCACUUCUGACA
rnacentral:tRNA from 1 species